rnacentral:lncRNA from 1 species
AUAUUGCCAGCACAGGGAAAAGAGACACUCUUUUAUCAAUUAUCAAGAGAACCAUUGAUUUCACAAAGCCAAUUAAAGUAUUUCUGGAGGAACAAGGUGUGCUAAAAAGGUACAGUUCACUGAAAUUUGGUAAAGAGCCAACAAUAGUUGUGAAUGGAGCAGGAAACAUAGUAUAAUGCAAGAAUUUUCCAGUUGUUUUCCUGCAACUAUCAUCAGUCUUUUCAUAUACUGAAGAUAUGAUAAAAAAGUG